AGAGUUUGAUCCUGGCUCAGGAUGAACGCUAGCGGCAGGCCUAAUACAUGCAAGUCGGACGGGAUUGUUAGGAGAGCUUGCUCGAAUAACAUGAGAAUGGCGCACGGGUGCGUAACGCGUGAGCAACCUACCCAUAUCAGGGGGAUAGCCCGGCGAAAGUCGGAUUAACACCGCAUAAGAAUGUAGUAUCGCAUGGUACAGCAUUUAAAUAUUUAUAGGAUAUGGAUGGGCUCGCGUGACAUUAGCUAGUUGGUAAGGUAACGGCUUACCAAGGCAACGAUGUCUAGGGGCUCUGAGAGGAGAAUCCCCCACACUGGUACUGAGACACGGACCAGACUCCUACGGGAGGCAGCAGUAAGGAAUAUUGGUCAAUGGAGGGAACUCUUACCCACCAUGCCGCGUGCAGGACGACUGCCCUCUGGGUUAUACAACUUUUGUCAGGGAAUAAACCUACUGCGUGUAAGUAGUGAAUUACC
rnacentral:rRNA from 1 species